rnacentral:rRNA from 1 species
GACGGAGGGUGCUAGCGUUGUUCGGAAUUACUGGGCGUAAAGGGCGCGUAGGCGGCCGCUUGCGUCGGAUGUGAAAGCCCGGGGCUCAACCCCGGAACGGCAUCCGAUACGGGGCGGCUCGAGACCGGGAGAGGAGGGUGGAAUACCCAGUGUAGAGGUGAAAUUCGUAGAUAUUGGGUGGAACACCGGUGGCGAAAGCGGCUCUCUGGCCCGGUUCUGACGCUGAGGCGCGAAGGUCAGGGGAGCAAACGGG